UCAGAUUGAACGCUGGCGGCAUGCCUUACACAUGCAAGUCGAACGCGAAAGCGGGGCAACCCGCAAGUAGAGUGGCGAAUGGGUGAGUAAUACAUCGGAACCUACCCAGUAGCGGGGGAUAACCUCUCGAAAGAGAGGCUAAUACCGCAUACGACCUAUGGGUGAAAGCGGGGGGCCGCAAGGCCUCGCACUAUUGGAGCGGCCGAUGUCGGAUUAGCUAGUUGGCGGGGUAACGGCCCACCAAGGCGACGAUCCGUAGCUGGUCUGAGAGGACGACCAGCCACACUGGAACUGAGACACGGUCCAGACUCCUACGGGAGGCAGCAGUGGGGAAUUUUGGACAAUGGGCGCAAGCCUGAUCCAGCCAUGCCGCGUGAGUGAAGAAGGCCUUCGGGUUGUAAAGCUCUUUCGGCGGGGACGAAAAGGUCUGUGACAACACCACAGAUCCAUGACGGUACCCGCAGAAGAAGCACCGGCUAACUACGUGCCAGCAGCCGCGGUAAUACGUAGGGUGCAGGCGUUAAUCGGAAUUACUGGGCGUAAAGCGUGCGCAGGCGGUCUGCUAAGAGAGGUGUGAAAUCCCCGGGCUUAACCUGGGAACUGCGCUUCUAACUGGCAGGCUAGAGUGUGGCCAAGGGGGGUGGAAUUCCCCGUGGAGCAGUGAAAUGCGUAGAGAUGUGGAGGAACACCGAUGGCGAAGGCAGCCCCCUGGGCUAAC
rnacentral:rRNA from 1 species